rnacentral:rRNA from 1 species
AGCCCCAAGAAGGUGGUAAACUCCAUCUAAGGCUAAAUCCAACCACGAGACCGAUAGCGAACAAGUACCGUGAGGGAAAGUUGGAAAGAACUUUGAAGAGAGAGUUCAAGAGUACGUGAAACCGCUCAGGGGUAAACGGAGAAGACCCAAAAUUCCGAAAGGGGAGAUUCACGUCUUACCGCCUGCCCGCCGAAACUUCCGAAAGAGAUGGCCUUUCGCCCCGUCCAGCUUCGGCUGGGCGGCGGGUUCGGUCGCUCCCGGAGUGUCGGGCAGGGUGGCGGCGGACCGCACUUCUCCCUCAGUAGGAGGUCGCGACCCGUUCGGCGCGGCGGACUGUUGGCGCGGAAUUGCGUCUGACGGCGGCACCGCCCUCGCGGCGGAGCUUGACCGGCAGCUUUCCGACGCCCGGACUUCCGCCGGACGGUAACAGACGGUGGUGUAGAUCCGCUCUCUCUCGGGAGAGCGUCCCGGCCGUCCGCAAGUGGGGUAGGUCCGUCUUUGUCAUCCCGGACCCAGGUCCGGUUGGUCAGGGCCCUCUACUGUUGGCGGACACAGCCUCGGACAGCGUUCACAACACCAGUCGGCGGCGA